rnacentral:rRNA from 2 species
GUAACGAGCGCAACCCUUGUCCUUAGUUACCAGCACGUUAUGGUGGGCACUCUAAGGAGACUGCCGGUGACAAACCGGAGGAAGGUGGGGGAUGACGUCAAGUCAUCAUGGCCCUUACGGCCUGGGCUACACACGUGCUACAAUGGUCGGUACAAAGGGUUGCCAAGCCGCGAGGUGGAGCUAAUCCCAUAAAACCGAUCGUAGUCCGGAUCGCAGUCUGCAACUCGACUGCGUGAAGUCGGAAUCGCUAGUAAUCGUGAAUCAGAAUGUCACGGUGAAUACGUUCCCGGGCCUU